CUUUAUUAUUAGUGUAGGGAAAAAAUUAACAGUUCAUAGUAAACGGUUUUUUUUGUUAAAAAAAUACACACAAGUCUAAAAGUUAUCUAGUCCAGCGUAAUUUAUGAGCUUUACUAAAUGGUCAAUAAUUUUUUUUUGCCCUUUUAUAUAUAUAUAUAUUUAUGGUGUUAUUAUGGUAUUUAUGGUGGUUGAAGUGAAAUUUAGCUUUUGUUUUGUGACAAAUUUCUCAACGGGUUUUAAAGAUAACUAUGAUUGUUUUUAUUUAUUAAAAAUUAAUAUUAUAAGUUUCUACAGAGCUUUAAUGUUACACGAUGAACCAUUAGCGCGCAAAUACAAUUUUUCAAAUGAACAACAACGUAACUCGCUUAUUCUAUUCAAUGAAUUUACGUUUUUCAAUAUCUGAGGCUUCGAUCAACAAUAGUAACUAGAUUUCGGGUCGGUGCAUAAAAUCCGUCUCGUCAAAUAACAGCGCACUUGAAAUGUGAGCUCUUAUUUUGUUUAGUUCACUUCAAACACAGCCAAUGUCAACCCGUCUCACAAUACCGCAGUGUGUAUUCAAAAGUUGCAAAAAUAAGGCCCGAAAAAGCAAUUUAACGGCCGGAGUAUCUUACUUUCGCUUUCCUAGCAAUCACGUGUGCAGAAUGGAUCUCGAUUGUCGCCAGAGAAAAAAGAGAUGACUUUUAUAAGCCAGCUAAGAACUCCGCUUAUUGACACUGGACAUCUUUGCCUUCCGAGCUCACGGCUACUGAAAUGUGGCCGAAACAUUGUAAUAAAAAUACCACGCUUGAAACCGUUUAAACGUUAAAAAUAUAUAUUACACAAAAACGUAACGCUAAUAAAAUAAUAAGUAAUGUAUAGAUACUAACAAACAUACAUUUCCAAAACAUAAAAAGUAAACAACUAAACUUUUACUUUAAUUCAUUAAUAAAUUAUUUUAGUGUUAAGCGCGACUCCCUUACCUCCUGUAGUAAAUAGAAAUCGGCAUUUCAAGAA